rnacentral:rRNA from 1 species
GGGGGGAACCCUGAUCCAGCCAUGCCGCGUGUGUGAAGAAGGCCUUUUGGUUGUAAAGCACUUUAAGCGAGGAGGAGGCUACUGGUAUUAAUACUACCGGAUAGUGGACGUUACUCGCAGAAUAAGCACCGGCUAACUCUGUGCCAGCAGCCGCGGUAAUACAGAGGGUGCGAGCGUUAAUCGGAUUUACUGGGCGUAAAGCGUGCGUAGGCGGCUUUUUAAGUCGGAUGUGAAAUCCCUGAGCUUAACUUAGGAAUUGCAUUCGAUACUGGGAGGCUAGAGUAUGGGAGAGGAUGGUAGAAUUCCAGGUGUAGCGGUGAAAUGCGUAGAGAUCUGGAGGAAUACCGAUGGCGAAGGCAGCCAUCUGGCCUAAUACUGACGCUGAGGUACGAAAGCAUGGGGAGCAAACAGGAUUAGAUACCCUGGUAGUCCAUGCCGUAAACGAUGUCUACUAGCCGUUGGGGCCUUUGAGGCUUUAGUGGCGCAGCUAACGCGAUAAGUAGACCGCCUGGGGAGUACG